AGUAAGGGUAAGAGCCGGUCUUUGUGCUGCGUGCAAUUUCACCGGUCCGUCCCAAGGAGAGACUUGACGUAAAUUAUACAGGCAUUCCCGAGCUAUGCAGGUUACUUGUUUUGAGUUGACAUUUUUCCCUAGAAAUUGAUUUUUUGACCGGACGCGGUGGCUUACGCCUGUAAUUCCAGCACUUUGAGAGGCCGAGGUGGGAGGAUCGCUUGAGCCCACGAGUAUGAGGCCAGCCUGGACAAGAAAGCGAGACUCCAUCCAUACACAAAAUCAAAAAAAUUAGCCAGAUGUGGUGGCCAGUGCCUGUAGUCCCAGCUGUUGGGGGGUCUGAGGUGGGAGCCAGGAGUUGGAGUCUGCAGUGACCUGUGAUCGGGCCACUGCACUCCAGCCCGCCUCAAAAAAAAUACUUGUUCCCCCAACGUUUUAUUUCGGAAAAUGUGAAAGUUUAGUAAAAUGAACAGCUGACCCCUCACCUAGACUCACAAUGGUUAACAUUUUGCUAGGAUUUUUGUUUUUCUAAACCAUUUAUGGGCAUCUUGUUCUUCACUCCUAAAAAUAAGCAUCUUAACUAUGGAACCAAAGUACCUUUAUCACAACUUUAGGAAGUAAGUCAAUAUUAUUUAAGGAAGAGUCCGCACUUAAAUUUCCCCAGUUGUCCUAGUUGGAACAUUUUACGGGGUUUCGUCAUGUUGCACAGGCUGGUCUCAGACUCCUGGGCUCAAGCAAUCUGCCCGUUUCAGCCUCCCAAAGUGCUGGGAUUGCAGCCAUGAGCCAACACCCCGGCUUUCACCUUGCUUUUUUCACAUAUUAUGAUAAUAUAGACUGAAAUAAUUUCUUUACCACAUCAUAGCACUCUUCCUCAUUCUCCCUUUUUUCCAAUACUAGGAUCCAUUCACGUUUCAUGCAUUGUAUUUGGUCAUCUUCCUUUAGUCCAGAAUCACCUGCCUUCUUGUUUGUUUUUCAUGACACUAAAUAUUUGGAAGAAUCCAGGCAAGUUGUCUUGAAAACAUUCCAUGAUCCGAAUUUCU
rnacentral:lncRNA from 10 species